rnacentral:rRNA from 1 species
GAGAAUGCCGGUGUGAGUAGCGAAAGACGGGUGAGAAUCCCGUCCACCGAUUGACUAAGGUUUCCAGAGGAAGGCUCGUCCGCUCUGGGUUAGUCGGGUCCUAAGCUGAGGCCGACAGGCGUAGGCGAUGGAUAACAGGUUGAUAUUCCUGUACCACCUAUAAUCGUUUUAAUCGAUGGGGGGACGCAGUAGGAUAGGCGAAGCGUGCGAUUGGAUUGCACGUCUAAGCAGUAAGGCUGAGUAUUAGGCAAAUCCGGUACUCGUUAAGGCUGAGCUGUGAUGGGGAGAAGACAUUGUGUCUUCGAGUCGUUGAUUUCACACUGCCGAGAAAAGCCUCUAGAUAGAAAAUAGGUGCCCGUACCGCAAACCGACACAGGUAGUCAAGAUGAGAAUUCUAAGGUGAGCGAGCGAACUCUCGUUAAGGAACUCGGCAAAAUGACCCCGUAACUUCGGGAGAAGGGGUGCUCUUUAGGGUUAACGCCCAGAAGAGCCGCAGUGAAUAGGCCCAAGCGACUGUUUAUCAAAAACACAGGUCUCUGCUAAACCGUAAGGUGAUGUAUAGGGGCUGACGCCUGCCCGGUGCUGGAAGGUUAAGAGGAGUGGUUAG